AACGAACGCUGGCGGCAGGCUUAACACAUGCAAGUCGAACGCCCCGCAAGGGGAGUGGCAGACGGGUGAGUAACGCGUGGGAAUCUACCCAGAUCUUCGGAACAACUGAGGGAAACUUCAGCUAAUACCGGAUACGCCCUACGGGGGAAAGAUUUAUCGGUUCUGGAUGAGCCCGCGUUGGAUUAGCUAGUUGGUGAGGUAACGGCUCACCAAGGCGACGAUCCAUAGCUGGUCUGAGAGGAUGAUCAGCCACACUGGGACUGAGACACGGCCCAGACUCCUACGGGAGGCAGCAGUGGGGAAUAUUGGACAAUGGGCGAAAGCCUGAUCCAGCCAUGCCGCGUGAGUGAUGAAGGCCUUAGGGUUGUAAAGCUCUUUCAGCGGGGAAGAUAAUGACGGUACCCACAGAAGAAGCCCCGGCUAACUUCGUGCCAGCCGCCGCGGUAAUAC
rnacentral:rRNA from 1 species